GCUGGGUGUGGUAGUGCACGCCUGUAAUCCCAGCGACUCAGGAGGCUGAGGCAGGAGGAUUGAAGAGUUCAAAGCCAGCAAAAGCUAGGCACUAAACAACUCAGUCAAACUCUGUCUCUA
rnacentral:sRNA from 1 species